CCUACGGGCGGCAGCAGUGGGGAAUAUUGGGCAAUGGGCGCAAGCCUGACCCAGCAACGCCGCGUGAAGGAAGAAGGCUUUCGGGUUGGAAACUUCUUUUGGCAGGGAAGAGGAGAAGACGGUACCUGACGAAUAAGCCAUGGCUAACUACGUGCCAGCAGCCGCGGUAAUACGUAGGUGGCAAGCGUUGUCCGGAUUUACUGGGGUUAAAGGGCGUGUAGCCGGGUUGACAAGUCAGAUGUGAAAUCCUGCGGCUUAACCGCAGAACUGCAUUUGAAACUGUUGAUCUUGACUACUGGAGAGGCAGGUGGAAUUCCUAGUGUAGCGGUGAAAUGCGUAGAUAUUAGGCGGAACACCAGUGGCGAAGGCGGUCUGCUGGACCGCAACUGACGGUGAGGCGCGAAAGCGUGGGGAGCAAACAGGAUUAGAUACCCGAGUAGUC
rnacentral:rRNA from 1 species